ensembl:lncRNA LINC01206 long intergenic non-protein coding RNA 1206
CUUGGCAGUUGAGAUUCAGACCUUGACAGUUGUAACCGAUAGACUGGGCUGGGGCAACGCUGAUGAAAGGCAAAUUCCUGAGAGAAAAAUCACCCAGAUUUUUCAGUGCCUUCUCUAGCUUUCUAGAAGUUGUUAUGAGUGGACCUGACUACCUAGAGAGAGUAAUACAGAAGCUCCGUGCCGAUCACAGCUACCUCAUUACCAUGUUCCUCCAAGAUGGCCGCCCCUGAGGAGAAUCAUCAACUGGGCUUUACGGAAGAGAGAAAUCCAAACGACCAUCAGCAACAAAUGAAAGACUGAAGUUGAAAGUUUCAAGAUUGUCAAGAAUGACGAGUUGGACUUGGUCUAGUUACUUCCACAGCAGCAGGAGGAACAUGUGUGUGACUCAGGAUAACUGGGGAAGCCUUGGCUAGGCUUUCCUCAUGUCAACCUACCACUCAAAGGGAGAAAACCUCCUGAUCAGAGGUGCCCAGAACCCAGGAAAUCCAUAAUUUUUGAAUGCUGGCCGAGGUCUGUGACCUCUGACUGAAUGGUUUCCAAGCUCCGAAUUCCUAGGUGAUGUUUUCAUUUGUUCACACUUGCUGAAGAAGGGAAAGGCUCUCUGAUUUACGUGUAAGCAAAACAAUCUAAACAGUAGGAUAAAAUCAUGUUGGAAUGGAGUUCUGUGUGGAUGCUCCUUUGAACCAAAUCAGUUCCACAACUGACCCUGUCAGGGACAUAUAAAUUUAGCAUUUUGGUGUGGAUACAGAAGACGAGAUUAACACAGAUCAAGUAACAUGGAAAUAAAAAAGGAGACAAUGCUGGAUGAUACAGGGGCAGCCAACAAGAGGAGAAAACCCAAGCAUUGGCAAAUGCCUCAUUAUCCAAAGAACACUGAGGUGUGGAGCAAAACUGUGUUGAAUGAACUGUAGAUGGAAAUUCUCUCCUUCCCACCGAGGAGCCGCUGCAGGUUGCAGACUCCCAGAAUGCCACACUGAGAAGAGGAGGGCUAAAAUUCUAGAGCAGAAUCCCUGGGGCAGCCCCUGCUGAAGAAGGGUGCAUCUGUUGAGAAUCUCAUCACCGCCCCCACCCCGCCCAGCCUUCAAUUUAGAGGAAUUUCUAGUUCACGCAGAAUGAAGACAAGAUCACAUAAGUGAGGACGACGCCCCAUUUACAAGUGUGAUUUGGAAGACUGAAGUGGAAACCUUGGGAAGGGGCCUCAGAGUAUGUCAGCUGGGGUCAGACGGGAACAGGAGUCUGGCUCAACACACAUUUAUUGCACUCCUGUUUCAUGCCAAGAAAUGUACCAAAAUCUGGGACUGUGUAACACAGCAAAGGAAAAGACUCAUCUCCAGGAAGCCCCCUUGUCUAGGAAGAGAAAUUGAAUAUCAGCAUAAGGUGGUGAAAAGCUGUGAAGGAGAUGAGUGCCAGGAGUCCAUGGAGGAAGGAUUCUAGCCUGGACAGGUGAGGAAUGGCUUUCUGGAAGAAGCAGAUGCCCCAGCUGAACUUUAAAAUGCCCAUGUGAAAUGAACUGUCUGUAUCUUCAAUCAGCAAAUGGAGUAGGUGGCCACUGUUUAAUUCUGGAAUGGGGAAGUGUAAAGGUGUGGUGUGUGUGUUUACCCCUACUUAGGGAUUCAAAACAGACAGUAAAGAACAAAAGUCUAGCCCUUUGAGCAUUCUCCAUGGGACAUUUGAGGUCUAGCUGGCCCCAGAGAAAGAGAGACAGAAGCAAGGUCAUAUCCAUUUGAGAAAAUCAAAGUGUCUGCUCCAAUUGAGUCUGGUGUCCUUAUUCCUGGAAUAGCCAUCCCUACUGCUCUGGUGCUGAUUUACCUCCGGCAGUUCAGUGCUUCCUGGAAGGUGAUUGUGGUGAAUAGUCAUGAGAAUCUGGGAACUGGCUCCUGCUCUGUCUAUCUUGGAGAUGCAUCUUUUAGUCUCCAUGAAUUGCAAGGGAAAACAAGUGGUACACUGGUAUUUCUAUUUGAUAACCUGUUCUCUUUGGAAUUCCGGUUAGAAAUCAAAGGCUUACUUGAGUUUUAAUGCUUUCGGGACUUCAAAUGCUUUUCUAUCUUCCUAAUAAUAUAUUAACAUUUUCUGAAGACAACAUAUAUGUGGAAAACAACAUUAUUUACUCAAAUAAUUUUUUUUGAAAAAUGGACCAAAAAAAAAGAAAAACCAACAAAAA